rnacentral:rRNA from 1 species
CCUACGGGUGGCAGCAGUGGGGAAUAUUGCACAAUGGGGGAAACCCUGAUGCAGCGACGCCGCGUGAGUGAAGAAGUAAUUCGUUACGUAAAGCUCUAUCAGCAGGGAAGAAACACUGACCUUACGUUCACCAGACGGUACCUGAGUAAGAAGCCCCGGCUAACUACGUGCCAGCAGCCGCGGUAAUACGUAGGGGGCAAGCGUUAUCCGGAUUUACUGGGUGUAAAGGGAGCGUCGACGGUGGGGCAAGUCUGGAGUGAAAUGCCGCGGCUUAACUGCGGAACUGCUUUGGAAACUGGCGAACGAGAGUGUGGGAGGGGUGAGCGGAAUUCCGAGUGGAGCGGUGAAAUGCGUAGAUAUUAGGAGGAACACCGGUGGCGAAGGCGGCGUACUGGACAGUAACUGACGUGGAGGUUCGAAAGCGUGGGGAGCAAACAGGAUUAGAUACCCGAGUAGUC